GAUGAACGCUGGCGGCGUGCCUAAUACAUGCAAGUCGAGCGAACGGACCAGAAGCUUGCUUCUCUGCUGUUAGCGGCGGACGGGAGAGUAACACGUGGAUACCCUACCUAUAAGACUGGGAUAACUUCGGGAAACCGUAGCCAAUCACGUAUAAUAUUUUGAACCGCAUGGUUCAUUCGUGAAAGACGGUCUUGCUGUCACUUAUCGAUGAAUCCGCGCUGCAUUAGCUAGUUGGUAAGGUAACGGCUUACCAAGGCAACGAUGCAUAGCCGACCUGAGAGGGUGCUAGGCCACACAAGAUCUGAGACACGGUCGAGAGUGCUACGGGAGGCAGCAGUAGGGAAUCUUCCGAAAUGGGCGAAAGCUUGACGGAGCAACGCCGCGCGAGUGAUGAAGGUCUACGGUUCGUAAAGCUCUUUUAUGAGGGAAAAACAUAUGUGUAAGUAACUGGGCACAUCUUGACGGUAGCUAAAAAGAAAGCCACGGCUAACUACGAG
rnacentral:rRNA from 1 species